UACGGAGGGGGCAAGCGUUAUUCGGAAUUAUUGGGCGUAAAGGGCGCGUAGGCGGCUAGAUGUGUCAAAGGUGAAAUCCCUCGGCUCAACUGAGGAACUGCCUUUGAAACUGUCUGGCUUGAGGCCGGGAGAGGGUAGCGGAAUUCCCAGUGUAGCGGUGAAAUGCGUAGAUAUCAGGAGGAACACCGGUGGCGAAGGCGGCUUUCUGGACAGAAACUGACGCUGAUGCGCGAAAGCUAGGGGAGCAAACAGG
rnacentral:rRNA from 1 species